GACUAAGUCAAUCGUGACGGUUCCCCGAUGGAUGACUUCGAGGGGAUUAAUAGGGAACACGGUGCGGAAGACCCAACAGGGACCAAGACCGUGGCUGCCCCCGCAACUGUAAGCGGAUUGCCGAUCGCCGAUGUGACGCCUUUGAAAGCGUCGUGCCACUGCCGGACCUUAAGAGGUCAGGCGGGAAGGCAGCGAGAGACAGAUAUCCGCGAGCCAGGAGACCUGCCGUCGAAAGCAAUAUCCA
rnacentral:ncRNA from 2 species